ensembl:snoRNA
CUGGCGCUGCAUCAAGACCGGCAGCUCCCUGACGCUGUUGGUUUUAAGCAGGAACCUAAAGAGUUGUCUUACUAUGGCCUGUUGACCAUUUCAGAACAUGGGCAGUGAGAUGGUAAAUUAGAAAGAAACAGCU